rnacentral:rRNA from 1 species
AAUGAUAUUUGUAUAGUCUAAGUGUCUAACACUGCAUGAGUACUGAACUCAGCGUAUAUAUAUGGUUAACUAGGGAUUGGUUGUUGACUUGUUUUUAUGCAGGUUCCCGUUACUUGAAGCUAGAUCAUGGCAGAGGCCAAGUCUAACUUAGUAACGGUUUGUUUAAAUUUUAGCUUUUAUUGCAUGCUAGGGCUAGAUUGAUUGUUAUUUUGGGUUGUCUGGGUAGAGUCUAGGUUGCGGGUAGAGGUCGCCAGCUCACUGAGUAACAUUAGGUUACUCAUCCAACUCCGUUGUCCCUUUUGCAGGUCGCUUUUAGGUAAGGAUGAUCGGAUAGCUUGGUGCUGGACGUUAGGACCGCCGGUGUAGAUUUUCAUGCCUUUUGUAAACGGUAUUGUGGAUUUGUGUUUAGUUGACUCAAUUUGGCAUUAGGCCGGGACCGGUCUCGAAUUAUAUCAAUGUAUGGAUAUUUCUAGAAUCAAUAAAGUAAUUGUUUUAUAUGCGCUUCAUGAGUACUCUGAUAUAUGACUAGUCCGGUCUAACACAACGUUAGGUCGUAGUACGGGUUGAAAAGCCUUAGACCUCGAUCUAACGGAUAACGCUAACUCUAGGUAUGGGUUGCAAAGCCUUGUGCCUUGACGCAGCGGGACGAGUUAGUGGAUGAACUGGUCUAGGUGUGGAGUAAAUCUUGUGACUCUGACCGGAUCAUCCCUAACCCGUCACGUAGCGCUUCCGGACCAUGGUGCUUGGUUGGACGGUCAGUCAUGUUCUUGUUUGAUUGUUGGCUGGCCGGUUGGCUCAUUCAUCUCUAACCCUGGAUGUUGGACGGUCGAUCGGUCAUGUUCUUGUUUGAUUGUUGGCCGGUUGAUCGACCAUAUGUCUAGGACGGUUCGGGGGUGUUACAGUCGGGGGCAUUCGUAUUUCAUAGUCAGAGGUGAAAUUCUUGGAUUUAUGAAAGACGAACAACUGCGAAAGCAUUUGCCAAGGAUGUUUUCAUUAAUCAAGAACGAAAGUUGGGGGCUCGAAGACGAUCAGAUACCGUCCUAGUCUCAACCAUAAACGAUGCCGACCAGGGAUCAGCGGAUGUUGCUUUUAGGACUCCGCUGGCACCUUAUGAGAAAUCAAAGUUUUUGGGUUCCGGGGGGAGUAUGGUCGCAAGGCUGAAACUUAAAGGAAUUGACGGAAGGGCACCACCAGGAGUGGAGCCUGCGGCUUAAUUUGACUCAACACGGGAAACUUACCAGGUCCGACAUAGUAAGGAUUGACAGAUCGAGAGCUCUUUCUUGAUUCUAUGGGUGGUGGUGCAUGGCCGUUCUUAGUUGGUGGAGCGAUUUGUCUGGUUAAUUCCGUUAACGAAACGAGACCUCAGCCUGCUAACUAGCUACACGGAGGCAUCCCUUCACGGCCGGCUUUUAGAGGGACUAUGGCCGUUUAGGCCAAGGAAGUUUGAGGCAAUAACAGGUCCGUGAUGCCCUUAGAUGUUCGGGGUCGCGACGCUACACUGAUGUAUUCAACGAAGUUCACACCUUGGCCGACAGGCCCGGUAAUCUUUGAAAUUUCAUCGUGAUGGGGAUAGAUCAUUGCAAUUGUUGGUCUUCAACGAGGAAUUCCUAGUAAGCGAAGUCAUCAGCUCGCGUUGACUACGCCCCGCCCUUUGUACACACCGCCCGCCGCUCCUACCGAUUGAAUGAUCCGGUGAAGUGUUCGGAUCGCGGCGACGCAUGGGUGGUUCGCCGUCCGCGACGCCGCGAGAAGUCCACUAAACCUUAUCAUUUAGAGGAAGGAGAAGUCGAACAAGGUUUCCGUAGGGUGAACCUGCGGAAG